GUACACGCUGUGACUAGCAUAUCAAUAAGCGGAGGAAAAGAAACUAACAAGGAUUCCCUUAGUAACGGCGAGUGAAGCGGGAAGAGCUCAAAUUUGAAAUCUUCAAGGUUUUACCUUGACGAAUUGUAGUUUAAAGAAGUGUUUUCUGCUGAAGUUUUGGUAAAAGUUCUUUGGAAUAGGACAUCAUAGAGGGUGAGAAUCCCGUAUUUGACCAUUAUUUUCAGCUUUGUGAUACGCUUUCAAAGAGUCGGAUUGUUUGGGAAUGCAGCCCAAAACGGGAGGUAAAUUUCUUCUAAGGCUAAAUAUUGGCGAGAGACCGAUAGCGAACAAGUACCGUGAGGGAAAGAUGAAAAGAACUUUGAAAAGAGAGUUAAAUAGUACGUGAAAUUGUCAAAAGGGAAGCGUUUGACACCAGUGUUGUUUUCUCGAAAAUCAAUUAAAAAUGGCUCGAUUUUGUAUUGCUUGAGACCUUAAAAGCUCACUGUACAUUUUUCGUGUCUUUUUUAAUGCACUUUUCGUUUAACAAGUCAACAUCAGUUUCUUUUGUUGUAAAAGGGUCAUUGGAAGGUGGCUUUCUUUUCGGAGAAAGUGUUUAUAGCCUUUGGCCUCUGCAAUCGAAGAGACUGAGGUCUGCAGCGUAGACUCUUCGGGGUUAGAUACAUUUGUGCUAAGUUAUAGCUUUUUAUAGACAACUUGUUGACUAUAAUUAGUCUUGUAGCUUACUCGCUUAUGCUAUUUUACCUACGCUUAGGAUGUUGAGUAGCGACAUACGCAC
rnacentral:rRNA from 1 species